UAAAUCAUAUCAGCAUUAAUACACCGGAUCCUAUCAGAACUCCACGGUUAAGGGUAUUUGUGCGAGAGUAGUACUGAGAUGGGUGACCUCCUGAAAAGUUCUCGUGUUGCAUUCC